CGUAGGGUGCGAGCGUUAAUCGGAAUUACUGGGCGUAAAGUGUGCGCAGGUGGCCGCGCAUGUCGAGUGUGAAAUCCCCGGGCUUAACUUGGGAAUUGCGCUCGAAACUACGUGGCUAGAGUGUGGCAGAGGAAGGUGGAAUUCCACGUGUAGCGGUGAAAUGCGUAGAGGUGUGGAGGUACACCGAUGGCGAAGGCAGCCUUCUGGGCCAACACUGACGCUCAUGCACGAAAGCGUGGGGAGCAAACAGGAUUAGAUACCCUGGUAGUCCACGCCCUAAACGAUGAUGACUAGUUGUUGGAGGAGUUAAAUCCUUUAGUAACGCAGCUAACGCGUGAAGUCAUCCGCCUGGGGAGUACGGUCGCAAGAUUA
rnacentral:rRNA from 1 species